GAUAUCAUCAUGCAUUACAACUCAAUUUUCUUCCACAUCAACUAAUCAUCAAAUAGAUCCAUCAUGCACAUCAGUUAGUCAAACAUUUUCAGAAUAAGUAAUAAAGCCAAGAAUACACACCAACAUUAAAAUUCAACCUAUUCUAGGAAUUUAAAAUGCAAAAGUGUAAGAAGAAAUCAAGGUUGCCUCCUAGUAGCGCUUGUUUAACGUCGCGAGCCGGACCCAA
rnacentral:lncRNA from 1 species